rnacentral:lncRNA from 1 species
AGGCAAAGCUUCAUCACAUAUCAGAUUCCAUUCCACUUCUAUUUUCCAUUAGGUAAUCAUCUCUUCCAUGGCCAUGUUUUGAUAUAUCUACGCUUGCUUACCAUGUUCAUCACCAUUAAUCCUUCCAUUUUCAUAUUUCUUUUUCUUAUUUAAAAUAUUUUCUUCGUCCAUAAAAUUACCCAAAAAUAUUUUUCACUUUUCUUAACGUUUUAUUUAAUUUUAAAUAAUUUUUAUUUUCGUAUUUUUUAAUAUUAAUAUUUUGUUUUAAUUAUUUAUUCUAAAUGGUCCAUUUUAACACACUUUUUUUAUUGAUUUUAUUUUUACGACUUAAAAUUAUUGUUAGCAUUUGACUUUUGGGAUGAAGGUUGACCACUGUCUCAUGGUCAACCUGACCUUUU